UCACUCUGUCCAGCCCCAACCGGCGCCAGCCCCGCCUGCCUUCCUCCUUCCAGGACACAAGGCCUGCAUUUCAGGCCCAGGGUUGAGGUCUCCACCCUGCAGCCCAGGAAGCCGGGAAUCCCCAGAUCAGCAGUACAGGGUCCUGGCCCAGACAGCUCAGGAGCUCCGAGGUGGUCCAGGCCGUGGAUGACCUCAUGGGUCUUUCCCAUGCCUGAGUCACUGCAGCUCACCGACUGACCCUGAGGACACCAGGGGAGGAGGGGACGUGGCAGCUCCGCUCGGUGGUUGGUGGUUGUCCGGGGCAGGCCAGGCCUGGCCUCUGCUGCCCACUCUGCAGGGGAGAUGGGAAGGAGGCGGAGCUACCUUGGGGUGCUCUUGGAUGGAGGUGCCCCUACCUCUCUGGGCUGUGUCACUCUCUCUACACGUGGCCUGUGGAUGUGGCUGUCCUCUCUGUCCCUUCUCCUUGUACAGAUGGAGAAACUGAGGUACAGAGAGGAGCAGGGAUUCACUGAAGAUCACAAAGUCCUGGUGGAUCAAGAUGAGGGGCUCCGUACCUUCCCUGGAAUUUGGGCUCUGCAGAUGUCUGGUGAGUAUGAUGGCAUGAUGCCAAGGAAACAUCUGGACCCAGGCUGGAAGAACUCAAGGCUCCAUGCGCACCUCCAGAAGGCUUCUGCUGGGAAGCUGGCCUCCAUGUUAUAAGGAAGCUCAAUAGCCCCACGAAAAGGACCGGCAAGAAUGACUCUCCACUGCAGCAGGCGGCCCCACUGAUGCUGCGUGGAGCAUUUCUUCGGUGAUAUGAGUGAUCGAUCGCAUUUGUUUGAAGCCACUAAUUUUUCUUUGGUUUUUUGAGACAGAGUCUCGCUAAAUUGGCUGAGCUGGCUUUGAACUCACUAUGUAGUUUAGCUAGUCUCAAACUCCAGCUGGGGUUGUGGCUCAGUGGCAGAGCUUUUACCUUGCAUGCACAAGGCCUUGGGUUCAGACCCCACCACUACCCACUCAAACCUGCAGUGACGCCCCAGCAGGGUGGUCUGGGGGUUCAAAAGGAGGCUGCCAAGGUGAUCACGUAGGCCUUAGAAUGUCAUGUGCCCAUGUUUGUCACAUGUGCACACCUGUGAGUGUACGCAUGAGCACCCUGGUGCGGAGCACACAUCUGUGUACAUAUUACUGUGCAUGUCACAUACACAAUCCCAUACGAGGCCAUGCAACUGUGUGAGUGCUGUGUGAACAGCGUGUCCUUAUGCUGUGCCCUCCUGCUGGGCGUGUGCCCUGGUGGCCAGCAAAGUACAGCACAGUAGCAGCUGCUUCAUCUGGCCCUGCUACUCUGCAUUUGGGAACUAAAUAUAGCUGGUGUCCAGCCCUGUUCCAGCCCCACAGGACACCCUGGCUGGGCCUUGGGCUCCCAUGAGCUUAUGCAGGCCAGGCCCAGCCAGGGCACAGGGAGGCCAAGGCCCUGCCCACGGUCCCACAGUGGACACAGCCAAGCCUGAUAAGGUCAAGCAGGGAGUAGGGGCUGCCCCUCCCUCAGCCAGGGCCAGCUGGGCGGAUGUGAGUCAGCACAGGGGGCACAGACAGCCAGGCCUGACCAAGGCUUGGUGAUAGGGAAGCCUAGUGCAGGGCUGCCUUCCUGGGCAGGCUUGGCAUCGAUGGGAGGAACCACCUGCCAGGUUGGCCAGGCUCUAACCUCAUUCUCCACCUUGAGGAACCCCAUGUCCUCUUCUGCCCAGAAAACCCCUGGCCGAGGCCCUAGCUACUUCCUGCUGGGUCUGGCCGGACCCUGGGCCUCUGGAGGGCUGUUCCCAGCCUUCCACUCUGCAUGGGUCGCCCCCAGGGCUUCCCUGACCCCUUCCUCAGGAAGCCCCCUGACUUCAGCUCCUGGCUCCUUCUGGGGGAGUCCCUUCCAGGCCCAGAUCUGAACUUCUGAAGGCUCUGUAUGUUUUCUUGUCUCUGUUCCCCUGGUGCUCCAUCUGGGGUCCCUGUCACCAUGCAGGAGGCCCUUUGGACACUAGUAGAGGCCCCAGGUGGACACGGGAAACUGCGGUGAGGUAGGCAUCAUCAGGGCCUCUAGGGCUUUUGCACUGUGCUGCUAGUCCAGUUGUUUAGAGAAAUAAAAGAAAUUUUUUUGAGACUGAGUCUCUCUAUGUUGCUAAAUUGUCCAGGCCGGGCUUGAAUUUGCAAUCCACCUGCCUCAGCCUCCCAGCAGAUGCUUCACUUAACAGAUGAGGACCCUGAGGCUUAGAGAGGGGGUGUGACCAGCCCGAGGUCACACAGUGCAGAGCAGCCCAGGCAGAUCUUGAGAAAUGCUCCUCACGUGUUUCCGAGCAGCCUCGUGGCUCUGUGGUGACAGUGAAAGAGGAAAAGACACCGGUCUGUCCUCUACAUGGAGGGCGGCAUGAAAGGCUCCACCUGCAGGCACCAGAUGGCACCAUGUCCAAUGAAGAAGUACUUUUUGCUGGGCUGGACGGCACCUGUAAUCUUUAGCAUUCAGAAGGCUGGGACAGGAGGGUCACAAGUUUGAGCCCAGCCUGGUCAACUCAAUGACUUACUGAGAUCUUGUCAUAAAAUAAAAUAGGGCUGGGGGCAUAACUCAGUGCAAAGUCCCUGGGUUCAAUCCCUUGUACUGCGAAUAAAAAUUCAUGAGUGAUGCACACAGCUUUUUUUUAGCAAAUAUAAAUUCAGGGCCAGAGGUGUAGCUCAGCGUCAGAGCGCUGGCCCUGCUUUUCACUCCCAGGACAUUAAAAAAAAAGGAAAUUCAGAAAAACUCAUUCCUGAUGGGGUCACACUGUCACGCAUUAGUUUCCUAUUGCUGCUGUAGCGAGUGACACAAACUUGCUGCUUCAAAUGACACGACAGAAUCCUUCCUGGUCCCGGAAGUCAGGAAUGGGAGAAGGAUCUCAGGGCCUGCGACACGGCAGCCGCAGCAGCAGCAGGACUGGUCCCUUCUAUCUGCCUUCUUCCCGAUGCCAACUGGUGCCCUGACCCCUGUGACAUCUCUGUCUCCGCCCCUGGCUCCUUUGCCCCCACUUCCACAGCUACAUUGGGGACCCCGGGAAGCAUGGCUGGGGAGGAAUUGAACAAAGGGGUCGGGGGCUUCCUCCUCAUAGCUCGACAGGUGAGCGGUGUCUGCACAUUUCUCCUGUAACCAGCACAGCUCUGAACGACUGAAUCA